GUCCACGCUGUAAACGAUGAGAGCUAGUUGUCGGCACGCAUGCGUGUCGGUGACGCAGCUAACGCAUUAAGCUCUCCGCCUGGGGAGUACGGCCGCAAGGUUAAAACUCAAAGAAAUUGACGGGGGCCCGCACAAGCGGUGGAGCAUGUGGUUUAAUUCGAAGCAACGCGAAGAACCUUACCCACGUUUGACAUGUCCCGUAUGGUCGGCAGAGAUGCCUUCCUUCAGUUCGGCUGGCGGGAACACAGGUGCUGCAUGGCUGUCGU
rnacentral:rRNA from 1 species